UAUUGUUUAAUUGGUUUAAAUAUUAGUGACAACUUUUCCCGAGUAAAGAUGCCUCUUGAAAAUGCGUACAAUUGCUCUGAUGUAAAUUUUCACAUGAUUCAUGUAAUUUGUAGGAAAUCAUAUGCUCUGUAAAAAAAAAAUUGAAUCUGUGAAAUGGCAGAUUUUAUUUUCCUUGGUGCAUUCUAUGAAAUUCUUGUUCAUCGAUGCCAUGACCAUCCAUAAUUUGUUGAGGUCUCAUUUAUUAUCACUUUGCUUUACGAUUUCUUAAUUUUUACAUUUAUAAGGGCUAUUCGUUUUGAUUGAUAUAUUCUUUUUGUAGGAAAAUGUUGCACAGUUAAGAUUGCCUUCAAAUAUUGGGGUAUUUCGUGAUUUGGUAAAUAACCGUUUAAGGUCUUUGCUAAAUGAUAAUCAUUACGAAGCCCUUCGUCAAACCACUUUUUUCCACUUCAUUAAUCUACCUGCUAUACCUAAUGAACAAGUUGCAGCCGAUUGCUUGCUUCAUGCAUUUAAUCCAGAGCGUAGCUUAAUUAGGAUUGGGGGAAAAUAUUUGUGUUUAGUGUUCUUGAUAUGCAUGAAAUAACUGGAUUGCCAAAGAUUGAAAAUAGGGUUAUAAUGGAUGGUCCAGCAUCUAAUACUAUAUAUACUGAGCAUGUGUAUUGUAAAAAGUCCCAAAUAGAGGAGGAGGAGGAGAAGGCCAGUAUGGGAAAGAAGAGGAAAGUCGAGAAGAAGGAUGUGAAUAAAGAUAAGAAGAAAGUGUGGGGCACACACAAAAGGAUGGCUGAUUUAAUUAUGGAGUUGGUGGGCUCCAAUCAUAUAGCAUGUGUGAAAUUACUUGUGGCUUUUAUUAUUGGAUUUGUAUUAUGCCCUCAGCCCGCUAACUCAUGUCCAUUAUGGGCAUUUAGAUAUGCGGACAAUUUAUUUGCUCUUCGUAAUUACAAUUAGGUUGGUGCUAUGUAUGAUUUACUACAUAAGGAGAUGACGAAGGCAAAGUUGUCCAUUUCAAAGUGAGCCUUAGAAGAGAGGGAAUGAGUCGGGUACAUGGGUGGGUUUGCAUCGGUAUUGGUGGUUUGGUUUUAUGAAAUAGUGGGGGAGCUAAAGUGUGAAAUAAAAGAGGAAACCUUACGACCCAUUUUUAUUAAUAGGAAGUCUCGAUCCUUUCGGCGAAAUGCGAUGAUGAGGUUAAUUGAAAAAUCAAAAUGUAUUAGGAAUUUCAUUAGUCAAACCACUAUAUCAUCCAUUCCUAGCGCAUCACGUCAUCAAUCGGUGAUGACAUUACUUGAAGUACACAAAUUGCUUGCAAAAAAUAGAGAGGAGUAUGAUGAGCUCAUUGAGUUAGAGAACAAGUUGAGUAGUGGUGGUAACGGCGGCAAUGAAGCCGAAGAUGAAAGUGAAGAGCAAGAUUGAGAGGACAAGGAGGACGGUGACGAUACAAAUGAUGGGGAGGAUGAGGAUGACGAUGAUACAAAUAUUGAGGAGAAUGACGUUGAGGAUGAUGAGGGUAAUAGAGAAGAACAAGGAGUACAAAGUCAUGAAGAGAAUACUAAAGAUAAAGAAAGGAGUGAGAAAUAUAGCUGUGGAUCUAAAUCCAAGAGGAAUGAAAAACAAGACGAGAUGAUUGCGGAAGAGCUAGUUGACGAUGAUGACUUCUUAGCUAUUUCUUUUUCAGGGACAUCACCAAGUAAAAGGAACAUCAGAGAUAGGACCCCAUCAAUUAAAUGGGUCGUUAGAGAUAGGAAACAUUUACCCACACGUGCAUAUCGUUCACCUUAUACGUGGCUACGAGGCCGUAAUGAGAAAAAGGAGGACAUAAUUAAUGUUUCUCAAUUGCAAACGUCGAACAUGAGUAUGGGUUGUAAAGAAAAGAAUGAAGUGAUAAUGUUUUCAAGUUGCAAACGCCUGAGAAGAGAAAGAAAGUUAAUAGAGGGACUGAUUUUAUCCCUAAGAAUUGCGAUUACCCGGCGAACGAAAAGUUAAAUGAAAGUGAGAGGAAACUCCUUGAUGAAGUUUGCAAGAAGAGAAUGAAUAGAGAUGAAUUUGUUUAGCAAUAUGUUACUCGAUUAGAUAUAUAUCAUCUUCUUAUUGAAAGGACAAUUUCUGAUAGUGUAAGUUCGCAAUCUUUAAUAGUUUUUUUUUCGCAUAUUUUCAUAUUUUAGUUGUGAUCAUUUUAUUAUGCAUAAUUUUCAGUUAGUCGAUGGUAUGAUAGAGAGAUUAAGAUGAAGAUUGAAAUAGAAGCAUGUCCAAAGCACAUACGCAUCACAUGAUCAUUCUUUGCUGUGAGUAUUAGGAAAAUUUACUAUCAUUUAAAUUAUUUUUUUGUUAAAUAUUAUGGUCAUGUUUUAACAGAGCAUUACUACAAGAUAAUCCCGGUCAUUGGACAAGACAACUCAAGGGUCGACAGCUUCCACAUGCACGCUUUGAAGAAUGCGAGAAGAUUAUUUUUUCUAUUCUUAGCCGUAGUCAUUGGCAUUUGUUGGAAUUGAUUAAGUCUGAGAAUUUUUUUAUCACUAUUCAUCACUCACAUACAUUAAAUAUCUUAAUGAUGCCAAGAAGUUCAUGACCAAUUUCUUAGCUUGCAUAAAGGAUGAAUGGAAAAUAGAAAAUAUGGAUGAGUAUAGUAUAGAAACACGACAGGUUCCUCAACAGGAUGGGAGCUUAGAUUGCGGCAUUUUCAUGAUGGGAUACAUAUAUUCCAUCAUCAAUGACACACCUUCAUUCAUUCAUUAGAACAAUUGUGAACUUCUAAGAGCAAAGAUCGCUAUUGCAUUUAUUUAGGAGGAAUCAGAAAAUCUGUUAGAACAUGCUUUUACCGAGGAAGUAGAUUCUGAAUAUAUAUGUCUUGGAUGUCCUUAUUAUUGAAGUUGUGCAGGAGCUUACAUUUUGUGUUGAUUUUAGUGUCAAUUUUGGGUAGUGUUGAUUUUGUACACUGAAUAUAAAUGUCCAGUUAAAUUUAUUAUAUGUUGUACGUUA